UCUGAACAGGUCCACUCUAAUCUUUCAGGCUUGAAAUCUGAAAAGAAAAAAUUGUAAUUUCAUGAGUCACUAAAUGGCUUUAAAGAGCAAUUACUUUGAGCCAAAACAUAGAUAUAUGUAAUAAUCCUGCACAGCAAGUCCUGAUUUUCUCUCAGUUACGUUACUACCCUGUGGGAUACAUUUUUUCUUUUUUGAGUUUUUACAGCACUAGUGGCUCGUUUUUCUGACAGUAGGCUGACAGGAAAGGAGGUGAGACAUGCAGCAAAGGACCACAGGCCAUAUUCGAACCCGGGUCGGCCGUGUCGAGGACUAAGGCCUCCGUACAUGGGGCGUGCACUGCACCACCUGCACACCCAUCAAUGAGAGUUUUUACGGACAUCAGUGACAAAAUGACUGGGAGUCGUACAGACGUCAGUGAGUUUGUGCUUAUGUUUGCGUGUCCUUGGCUGAAAGGGUAUAAAGCCAGGUGAUCAGUCAGAAGAAAAUAAGAGAAAAUACAGAAAUCUUUGGUGGAGAGAGCAACAGGAAGUCAAAGAGCUGAACGAGCUACGAGAAAAGAAAUCAGAGGAAUGCGUCUCUUGUUGCCAUUGGUGGUGAUGGUAAUGGUGAGCGUGGCCAGGGCGGCACUUGGUCGAUGCUGGGAAAGCCCCAGCUGUCAGGAACUCAACUCUGAGAACAACACAAUGGACUGUUUUCAGCUCUGUGGAAUCGACCCUCAUGAGUUGACCACCAUCCUUGCCAGUGUUUACCCGCAGCCUUCUCUAUCAGUCUCUCUUUCUCCUUCACCCAGUCCUCCCUCCUCCUCUCAAACCAAAGCCUCCUAC